AAUAGUGGACAAUGGGGUGAACGCUGAUCCAGUCAUGCCGCGUGUUUGAAGAAGGUCUUCGGAUUGUAAAGCACUUUAAGUUGGGAGGAAGAGUUGUAGGCUAAUACCUUCCAAUUUUGACGUUACCACCAGAAUAAGCACCGGCUAACUUCGUGCGAGCGUCCGCGGUAAUACGAAGGGUGCAAGCGUUAAUCGGAAUUACUGGGCGUAAAGCGCGCGUAGGUGGUUCGUUAAGUUGGAAGUGAAAGCCCCGGGCUUAACCUGGGAAUUGCUUUCAAAACUGACGAGCUAGAGUACGGUAGAGGGUAGUGGAAUUUCCUGUGUAGCGGUGAAAUGCGUAGAUAUAGGAAGGAACAUCAGUGGCGAAGGCGACUACCUGGACUGAUACUGACACUGAGGUGCGAAAGCGUGGGGAGCAAACAGG
rnacentral:rRNA from 1 species